rnacentral:rRNA from 1 species
GUGGAUUAGAUACCCUGGUAGUCCACGCUGUAAACGAUGAAUACUAGGUGUCGGAUCGAAAGGUUCGGUACCGAAGCUAACGCAUUAAGUAUUCCACCUGGGGAGUACGAUCGCAAGGUUGAAACUCAAAGGAAUUGACGGGGGCCCGCACAAGCAGUGGAGCAUGUGGUUUAAUUCGAUGCAACGCGAAGAACCUUACCUAGGCUUGAAAUGCAGUAGACCGGGUAUGAAAGUACCUUUCCCUUCGGGGCUGCUGUACAGGUGCUGCACGGCCGUCGACAACU